AGCAAACAACAAAUGGUUUAUUGA
rnacentral:siRNA from 1 species